AGGAGUCCAGGAAAUCCCUGGAGAUCCGCAGCCUGGGAUGGCCCCUGUUGAGAUUUUCAAUGGGGGAGCCCUCCUCCCUCCCUGGGCUGCUUCCAGGCCUAGGAUGGAAGCAGAAUCUCAAAGCACAUGGGAGCUCAAGGCUUCCAGGGAGGGCAGAGGACAUUUAAUUAAGAAGGAGCCAACUGCACAGGGGAAGAGGUCAAGAUUUUAUUGGUGGGGGCACGGGCAACGGCAGAGGUGAAGGGCAGGGCUAGAGCUGGUUGAAUCCGGGGUAAGAGAGUGAGUGAGAUUUGAGGGUAAAGAAAGAGUCAUGGGAGGUGGGGUUAGGGUGGAUGUGGAGUUGGAGUUAGGAUUCAAGGUAGGGAAAUGUGUUGGUACAAGGCAUAAUGGUAAGUCCGGAGUUCAUUCUGUUAGCAAUCAACAAAUAUUAAUCGAGGACCUCCCAUAUACCAGGCUCUGUUCUACUUGCUGGAAAUAACAUAUAACAGUGAGUACAACACAAAACUCUGCCCCCUCAGAGGUGACAUGCCAGUGGUGGAAGCAGAUAAUAAAGUAAAUGGGAGAAUAAAUUGUAUGUCAAUGCUAUAGAGACAAAGCUGGGAAGGGGGUUAGGGAGUAAUAGGGCACGCAUUGCAAUUUUAAACAUGGGCUCACUGAGAAGGUGACAUCUGAGUCAAAACCUCAAGGGGUUAGGGAAGCCAGCCGAGUAAAUAUCUUGGUGAAGAGCAUUCUAAGCAGAGGGAACAGCAAAUGCAAAAUCCCUGGCGUGUGUAAGUACGCCCAGCUCGUUCAAGGAACAGCUAAAAGAUUAGUGUAGCUGGGAAGAAGGUGAGGAGAGUAGGGAGGAGAGAAGAGGCCAGAGUGGUGAUGGGCUGAGAGCAGGGUUGGAUUAGAAUCAGAGCAGAGGUCUGCACUAGCUCUGUCUCCCGUCUCUGAGUGUUGGGGAAACUGAAGGCAUGUAGGCAGAGGCCUGCGUGGAGGACUUGGAUAGAGGUGGGAGAUCAGGGUGGAGACAACUGAAAACAGGUCCACCUGGAGAACUCCUGGCAAGGAGGUGCCCUCGAGGCCUCCUAUUGGGCCAGGGCACCUGACCUCAAGACUUUUCCCUGUCUCAUCAAUGUCUCCCCCUCCAAAGCAUGAGACACCACUUCACUUGGAGCUCAUCUUCAAAACUUUGUCACCCAUCCCCCCCAAUUUGUUUGCUAGUAAAAAGAUUGGGGGGGUGGGCUGUCUCUUUUCCUCUCCAUCGCCUCCUCCCAAUCAUCGCCAGUGUUCUCCUUCCCUUCUCUCUCCUGCCCGCUCCCUCUCCCUUUCUCUCCCUGAGAGCUGAUGCAGUUAAUUGGAGCGUCUUGAAAGUGCACAUUAACACACAGAGAGCCAAGGAGACGUCUUGGCAGCGAAAUAUCAUUAUCACUUCUUGAGCUCCAGCCAAAAUCCCC
rnacentral:lncRNA from 1 species